UCAUCUAAGGGAAAACGUCUACAAGAAUAUCUUUCCCACAUUAAUAAAAUAACGAGCGAGAUUAUAAAGAAAAAGAAGGAGUCAAUGCACAAGGAUAACUUUACCCAGGAAGGAAAAGGUCCAUGUUCAAGAAAAGAUACCAGUUCAUUUCUAGACGUCAUAUUUAAAUCGCUUUACGAGUCCGGAGAAUAUUCGAAG
rnacentral:lncRNA from 1 species